rnacentral:rRNA from 1 species
UACGUAGGGAGCGAGCGUUGUCCGGAUUUAUUGGGCGUAAAGCGCGCGUAGGCGGUUUGAUAAGCCGGGUGUGAAACCUCCAAGCUCAACUUGGAGCGGCCACUCGGAACUGUCAUGACUUGAGUCAGGUAGGGGAACACGGAAUUCCAGGUGUAGCGGUGAAAUGCUUAGAUAUAUGGAGGAACACCAGUGGCGAAGGCGGUGUUCUGGGCCUGUACUGACGCUGAUGCGCGAAAGCGUGGGGAGCGAACAGG